ACGGGAGGCAGCAGUGGGGAAUAUUGCACAAUGGGGGAAACCCUGAUGCAGCGAUGCCGCGUGAAGGAAGAAGUUCUUCGGAAUGUAAACUUCUAUCAGCAAGGAAGAAAACGGACAGUACUUGACUAAGAAGCCCCGGCUAACUACGCGCCAGCAGCCGCGGUAAUACGUAGGGGGCAAGCGUUAUCCGGAUUUACUGGGUGUAAAGGGAGUGUAGGUGGUUUGGCAAGCCAGAUGUGAAAGCCCGGGGCUCAACCCCGCGGACUGCAUUUGGAACUGUUAAACUUGAGUGCAGGAGAGGAAAGUGGAAUUCCUAGUGUAGCGGUGAAAUGCGUAGAUAUUAGGAGGAACACCAGUGGCGAAGGCGGCUUUCUGGACUGUAACUGACACUGAGGCUCGAGAGCGUGGGGAGCAAACAGGAUUAGAUACCCUGGUA
rnacentral:rRNA from 1 species